UAAGGUCGGACAAGUCGGAGAGCUGCGAAGAGCGACCACGAGCGUCAGUAGCGCGAACAGUUCCUUCGGAGGAAGCGGUCG
rnacentral:misc_RNA from 1 species